rnacentral:tRNA from 2 species
GCAGUCGUGGCCGAGUGGUUAAGGCGAUGAACUAGAAAUCCAUUGGGGUCUCCCCGCACAGGUUUAAAUCCUAUCGACUGCG